ensembl:lncRNA
CCCUUGGAGAAGGGAACAGCUACCCACUCCAGUAUUCUGGUCUGGAGAAUCUCAUGGACUGUAUAGUCCAUGGGGUUACAAAAAAUCGGACAUGACUGACCGACUUUCACUUUUUCUCUGCUGUUUUUUCUAGUCUUCAGUUAGGAGAAAAGAUAAUUGAAAACAAUUUUUUUUUUUAAACUCGGCAUACCUCAAAAAUUCUUUCCAAAGUGCUGAGUUUGCAAUGAGCCCACCACGAUACACAUAGCAGACCUCUUCAACAGGCCAUGGGAGCCGGGUGACUGGUGGACACCCAGCAUGACAAGGUCACAGACUGUGUUACAAGAGUGCCAUUUCCACUUGGAAGUUUCUCUUGCUGUGAGUGGACUCCACGCCAGCUGGGAACCUACACUGUCGUAUCAUAGGGACAUUACGUCCUUGAGGUUCAGAUGUUUAGGAGGCUCAGCAGACAUCCACAUGGGUAAGUUGAGGAUGAGGAAUGCUGUGUUACAUUUGUCUGACAGCACAGAUCACCGGUUUGCACAGGACAGAAGCAAGAGCCUGUGUCUGUGUGAUGGGAGGAUGUUUGCAGACUCCAUCUUAAGAGUAUCCAUUUCUCCCCAGGGCAUUUGAUUUGCCAUGAUUGUGACAAAUUUGAUUACUGGUCAGUGGAUUUUCCCUACCUCUCCUGCCACUGGCAUCCAUGGGAAGAAUAUACCUCCCUGCUUUGGUGGCAUUGGACUUGAUAUGGCCAAAGAGGGUGGAAGUGGCAAGGUCAAGUCCCCAGCCUGGUCCUGAAGAGCCACCAUCCUUGUUCUUGUGUUUCUGCUGUUCUCAUGGAAAAGACAAGGCGUGGAUAGCUGACUGGUUCCAGAUAACAACAGGUGUGUCACGUCCGCUUUUGUGGGAAGAAGUCAAGAGAACAAUACUUCUGGGAGAGGAGAAGAUCUUAUAUUAUGAGUCAUCCAAAAUUCAGGGAGAGAAAGAACGUACCGUUGCCAACGAUUCCACUGUUCAUGCUGCCAGGUUGGGGAAGCACCAGCCCUCCAUCUGUGUCCCCAUCUCUUAACCCAGCUGCCCAGGACUGAAGCUGCUCCUGCCCCCUUCUAGUGAAAUAAAGGCUUUAAUACAAAUCAUUUACAUUAAAUUGGCUUCUCUUAGGGUAGACCUGCUAGUUUGUAAAAGUGCCCGGACACGGCUAUUGAUGAACGCCAGUUGUGACAUAGCCUAGGUUCACACAGAGAUGCUUUGGAAGAAGGAAAUAAUGACGCUAACAAUUGGCCACAGUCUCUCUCUCUCUCUCUUUCUCUCCUCUUCCUCUCCCACCCCGUUUCUUUCCUGUCAUUGCUUCGUUUUUAUCAGUUGGGUAUACUGACGAAGAUUUGUUGAAAUACAAACUAUGCCUAAUAUCAUGUUUAGGUUUAGAAAUAAAAGCACAUUUAUUUGGUUUAGGUUCACUGUAAACUGAAAAAAAAAAGGAAGGGGGUGCUGGCAAAUUGUGGUGACCUGCUCAGAAAACACUGAGAGGAUGAUGACCCAGAGGUAAGAAUAAGGAACCGCACAGAAAUUUAUUUUCAGUUCCAUUUUGUCAGUUUACAAAUUAUCAUAAUCUCCUAUUCUGGCCUUUUAAAUGAUAUUAUGGUAUAAGCUAAACUACAAUUAUUGAAAAUGAAUUGGCAUUUCAGAUGGCAAAACACAGACUCAUAUGAUAAAACAAUGCGACACUUAUACCUUUUUAUUGAAUGAAAACUCCAACUUAAGCUGGAGAACAGAGGGGAACGAAAGCUGUUUUCCUCUUUUUUCUUUUUUUUCCCUUUUCUCAAAGUUCAGACUUUGUUGAUUAAUCAGAUAAGUGGAAGUUUUGUGUUUUUUUUUUUAAC